GAGAGAGAGAAAAGGGAGAUAGAGGAAGGAGGGAGGGAGGGAGGGAGGGGUGGGUUAUUUCUGAGCUCAGGGCCGAGGAGGAUUAAAUGAGAGCAGUCCCAGCAGCACGAUGACAGCAUCCAGUGUGAGGCCAAACCCCCCACCAUUCGGGCCGACGUAGGUUCUCCCGAAUAAAUUAUUAACCUUAAACCUUAGAUAUCAGUGAUUUACUGCGAGAUCUACCCGAGACACCUAUUAUCCUCCCGUGGCUUCUAACAACACGAGGUGGCCCACCGGACCGCCAGUGAUCUCCAUGGUCACGAGGUCCCGCCCUCCACCUGUUUUCAGCCAAUCCUGGGGGGCCACUCCCCCACCCCGAGCUGAUGUCUCAGCGGGCCGGACGGAUUUUGUUUUCUGGGCUCUGGAAGAGACAAGCGAAGCCUGAACCUCGGUGAGUGGCGUUCUCUGUAAGGCCGCUAGGUCUUGAUGUGUGGGUGUCUGGUAUUAGUGUGCAGUGGUAUGGACUUAGACUGUUGUCUGCUUUCUUUGUGAAGUGGUUGGCAGAAGGCUGUCACCUUUCGUCAAUUACAAUGUUUCGUUAUUCAUUGCAACCUUUUAAAGAAUGUACUUAUUAUAAUUAUAAUAAGGGUCAGCUAGAUGGGAUUUAACUCUUUCGGCUGUGUUCUGAUCGUCCCGAUACAAUAGAUACGAUCCAAUUUUAAAGAUUAUUAAUCGUAAUUUUUUUUAAUCAGUUUAGGUCAAACGUAGAUGUAACCUUAUCACUUCAGCAUAGUACAGAAAUAGUAAAGUAUACUGUAAAUGAUGAGGUGCAAUGAGAACAUCAAUUCAAUGAACCAGCGUGUUUCUCACUCUCAAUCAAUCUGAGUCACGCUAAUGUUGCUUGACUAUUUGCUGAGUGCUUUUCUCUUCCUUAACCACCAAACAGGUUGAACUUGUUUAAUUCAUUGUAUGACUAUUUACCAUUACAAAUUUACAAUUAUGUCUAAUUAGGCUCUCUUUCUCUCUAACCCUGUUCUUAUUUUGUUAUCAACACAUUUCCUCCUACUGCUUGUGUUUGAAGUGGUUAAAGGUCUUACAACGGGGGUUCCUUGAAACAGUCCACUCAAAGAUAGAUCCUCCUUCAUGCUGCUUUACAUGAGGGCUAAUUCAGGGUCAUCUGUGGCAGCCUCGUAACAGACACAGAUACAGGGAAACAAGCAAUUAGACAAAGCUGUGCCUUCCCUUCCCCACAAGGCCCAUCUGGCCUGGUUCCAGAUACUGACCAUCACGCCAUCUCUGUGUACGUUGCCCGUCUCGGCGAAACGCGGAGAUAGCUUCAACCUAAAGCCCUCACAGUUUUGCAAGUCACAAAGUUGGGUUUGUGCAGUUGUGUAUCCGCAGCCACUGUCAUUGGAGCUGAGGACCUGACUCGGCAGGGGAAGAGAGAGGGAGAAACAGAGGGGGAGAGAGAGAGAGGGGGAGAGAGAGGGGGAGAGAGACAGAGAAACAGAGAGGGAGAGAGGGACGGAAGGGAGAGCAAGAUGGAGAGAAACGGAGGAAUGAGGAACACAGGAUUUACCUGAGUCAGCAGCACCGACCGCAGCAACGACACACAAUACACACACAUCACUGACACAUAUAAAAACACAAACACAAACACAUACACAAACACACAAACUAACACACACACACACACAAACACACAACAAACACACCCAAAUACAUAUACACACACACACACGUACACACACACACGUACACACACACACACACACACACACACUCUCUCUGUCUCUCUCUCUCUCUCUCUCUCUCUCUCUCUCUCUCUCUCUCUCUCUCUCUCACUCACACUCACACUCACACUCACAC